rnacentral:rRNA from 1 species
AUUGAACGCUGGCGGCAGGCUUAACACAUGCAAGUCGAGCGGGGUGAUGGUGCUUGCACUAUCACUUAGCGGCGGACGGGUGAGUAAUGCUUAGGAAUCUGCCUAUUAGUGGGGGACAACAUCUCGAAAGGGAUGCUAAUACCGCAUACGUCCUACGGGAGAAAGCAGGGGAUCACUUGUGACCUUGCGCUAAUAGAUGAGCCUAAGUCGGAUUAGCUAGUUGGUGGGGUAAAGGCCUACCAAGGCGACGAUCUGUAGCGGGUCUGAGAGGAUGAGCCGCCACACUGGGACUGAGACACGGCCCAGACUCCUACGGGAGGCAGCAGUGGGGAAUAUUGGACAAUGGGGGGAACCCUGAUCCAGCCAUGCCGCGUGUGUGAAGAAGGCCUUAUGGUUGUAAAGCACUUUAAGCGAGGAGGAGGCUCUUUUGGUUAAUACCCAAGAUGAGUGGACGUUACUUGCAGAAUAAGCACCGGCUAACUCUGUGCCAGCCGCCGCAGUAA